UACGGAGGGUGCAAGCGUUAAUCGGAAUUACUGGGCGUAAAGAGUGCGUAGGUGGUUAAUUAAGUUAUCUGUGAAAUCCCUGGGCUCAACCUGGGCAGGUCAGAUAAUACUGGUUAACUCGAGUAUGGGAGAGGGUAGUGGAAUUUCCGGUGUAGCGGUGAAAUGCGUAGAGAUCGGAAGGAACACCAGUGGCGAAGGCGGCUACCUGGCCCAAUACUGACACUGAGGCACGAAAGCGUGGGGAGCAAAC
rnacentral:rRNA from 1 species